rnacentral:lncRNA from 1 species
GAGUAACAAAGCACCAAUAACAUUACAUCAAAACACAGCUUGGUGAGAACAAAUAAUCAUUAAAAAUCCUAAAGAGAGCUAAUCAGAGCCGUAGAUUGGCUGAUAAAAUUUCAAUCUUUCUUCUGAAAGCUAAUCAAAGCGUGUUUUUUUAUAAAGGAUCAUCCUGAUAAUGAUCGCAAUAUAUGUGUUUUCAUUAAUUAAUCUAAACCCCGCAAAAUCGAUCAAUAAUUCUUCCGAAAUACAUUAAACAAGAACGCAAGGCCUUCAAAUUUACACUCGCCGCAUCUCAAAACAUCGAACGACACAACCCCAAAAUUAGGGUUUUCGAUCCCACACUGCAUCGAAUCACAACAGAGCUAAAACUCACACCUAAAAUCCACAAUCCACCGAAAUACAUACAAAAACAGAUAAAUCCAAUUAACCUGAUUGAUGAGGCGCCUCAGUGCCAUCUUUCUCCAAUAGCGACAGCAGACGCGGAAAAAUGAAACCCAGAAGAGAUGAAAAUAUUAAUUAAAACGAAAAAAACACACACUCCUCAACUCCUCUUUUCUGUUGUUAAUCUGGGCGCCGAUUGGAGAGCGCGCAUAAAUUGAUCCAAAAUGUGAAGAAGAGAGAGAGAGACGCAAAGAGAGGGAGAGGGAAGGCGAGAACAAUAUCGAUAUUAUUUCAGAAAUUACACACUGCUUGUUGCUAAAAUGUGCACCGUGUUACAAUGCGCACCUGUAGAUGACUAACGCAUUAUUUGGGACUUUUUAAUUUCUAUUUUUUUCUUCUUUGUUUUUGGGGGAAAAAUGGACUUCUUCACCAAAUGAAUUAUUCAAAUACAAUAUUUUAAAAUUUUAUUCAAUAGGUCACUUGUUGCAAAUCCAAAUUACAUUCCCCAAAGAAAAGUUACGUUACCAAAAAAAAAAAUAUGGUCUCUUGUACACUAACACUAAUAUAAAUGACACUAACACUAAUAUUAUAUUAGAAUGAUACUAAUAUUAUUUUAUUUUACAAAUGACNUAGCAGCAACAAACUCACCUCUACUCCUUUGGAGAACUAAUCAAUUCCAGUCAUCGGGCAAAAAGGCGGUAUCAACUCCAUAACAUAAACAUAGUUAGAUUACAUAGAAUUGUACAUGAACUUUAAUUUUUAUACACAGUAUAACUUUCAAAAUUUAGUUCCAAUUUCUUUUUUUGUUUGUUGUUGUUUCAAAAUUGCUUUAUGCCGUUGAUAUUGAGAGCUACUGAAAGUGGACUAUUUUGCUGAUUUUUGGGAACAUAUUAUAUUAAAUGAUGAGUGAUUUCAAUUGGGGGUUAGGGUUUGGUAUUUUCUAGAGCAGCAAUAGUUCAAGAUAGGUUCAUAAUUUUGAUUAAUAGCAAUUGGGGGUUAGGGUUUGGUAUUAUACAUUUGUGUUGAUGUUGUGUAUACAUCUAAGCACACCUUGUUUUGAUGCUAAUUCGUUGCUUUACAUACGAGAUAUCCAGGUAUAGAUGCGACCGUAGCUCUAAUUGUUGGCUGAGUGUGUCUAAUUCUAUGCUCCCUUUUAUGUUGUUGUUGUAUAUAAAUCUAAGCUUGCCUCGUUUGAUGCUAACUCGUUGCUCUACAUUACCCAAUACCCAGGUAUAGAUACGGUUUUGGUCGAAGCUAGCAUCGUAUGGCGCAUGCCGCUUUGGUGUCUUGCUCUUUAAACCUCUCCUUGGGCAGCAGGUCGUGCAGCAAGCCUUCGACCCAUCUUACACCCUCUGCAUCUGUGAGUUUACGGAUUUCUGGAUCACCGUUCCAAAGGAUUCCUCUCAAGGUCGAUAAAAGGUUGCAGAGAUGCUGGACUGUCUAUGCUAUGGCUGUUUCGAUGGGUCAAGAAACGAGGGUUCAGCCUGGAUCAGGGUCCGAUCACAGCUCUAACGAAGCUUCCUCGCCAAAGAAGGUCAUGGUGAUCGGUGGUGAUGGCUAUUGUGGUUGGGCUACUUCGUUGCAUCUCUCGAACAAGAACUACGAGGUUGCUGUUGUUGACAAUCUCGUCCGUAGGAGUUUCGACCACCAGCUAGGUCUUGAUUCCCUCACUCCCAUCGCGUCCAUCCACAACCGGAUCAGGCGAUGGAAGUCCCUCACGGGUAAAGAUAUCGGGCUCUACGUUGGAGACAUAUGCGACUUUGAGUUCUUGUCGGAGGCCUUCAAGUCGUUUGAGCCCGAUGCCGUCGUCCACUUCGGGGAACAAAGGUCCGCUCCGUACUCCAUGAUUGAUCGGUCGAGGGCCGUGUACACGCAACACAACAACGUGAUAGGCACCCUCAACGUUCUCUUCGCCAUAAAGGAAUUCGGGGAGGAUUGUCAUCUUGUGAAGCUCGGGACCAUGGGAGAGUAUGGGACCCCGAACAUAGACAUCGAGGAGGGGUUCAUCACGAUCACUCACAAUGGGAGGACCGACACUUUGCCCUACCCGAAGCAGGCUAGCUCAUUCUACCAUCUCAGCAAGGUGCAUGACUCCCACAACAUCGCGUUUACUUGCAAGGCUUGGGGGAUCAGAGCCACGGACCUGAACCAGGGGGUCGUCUAUGGAGUGAAAACCAACGAAAUGGCCAUGCACGAGGAACUAUACAAUAGGUUGGAUUAUGAUGCGGUGUUUGGAACCGCGUUGAACCGAUUCUGCAUUCAGGCUGCGGUCGGUCAUCCGCUCACCGUCUAUGGCAAAGGAGGGCAGGUAAAAAUUUCACCUAUAUAUAGCUCCUGAGUUUGGUUUGGUUUCGUUCGUGUUCAUGUUUGUGUUUCUCUUUGUUGUUCUAGUUUGUUAAGAGGUCGCUCGUUUCAUGUUAUUCGGAUAAGUGAACACGAACGCUCGGGUCACGAGCAAGUCAUGUAUCACUCCACACAUCGAAGGUUUCAAUAGGAUUUAGAGUUUAGGGCUUACAUAAACGGCCACAUAUAUCGUAUAUUCAUAUGUUUCAUUGAUACGAAACCAUAGUUUGCAUUCGUAUUAAUGAAAUCAUGGCACCCUUUCGCCCGAAUUUUAUGCUUACGGAACAUGACAACGCGUUGCACUGCUUGUUUUUGCUUGAUCGGAACGCGUUGUUUUGGCUUUGAUGCUUCUUGAUGACAAUGUGUUGUGGUUCUUAUUGCUUAUUUUUGUUUCUCCGUGCUGAUUUUCGUUCAAUCUGCGACGUACAGACCCGAGGAUAUCUCGACAUACGGGACACGGUCCAAUGUGUUGAGCUCGCCAUAGCGAACCCGGCCCAGAGGGGCGAGUUCCGCGUCUUCAACCAGUUCACGGAGCAGUUCUCGGUGAACGAGCUCGCCGCCCUCGUCACAAGAGCCGGUAAGAAGCUCGGCCUCGACGUUCGUACGGUGUCCGUGCCCAACCCUAGAGUGGAGGCGGAGGAGCAUUACUACAAUGCCAAGCACACGAAGCUCGCGGAAUUGGGACUCCAGCCCCAUCUCCUGUCGGACUCUCUCCUCGACUCGUUGCUUAAUUUUGCGGUCCAAUACAAGGACCGCGUCGAUCCCAAGCAGAUAAUGCCGAGCGUCUCGUGGAGGAAAACCGGAGCUAAGCCGAAGACUGUCCCCGCUUAGUCGAACUUUCUCUGUUUCCCUUGUAGGUGUAGGAACUGUUGUAUCUUUAACUGUAGACAUUAUCAUAUACUCCCUCCGUCCCCAAAAUAAGUUCCUCUUUGGGGACGGCACGGGUUUUAAGGAAAAAUAUUAAAGUGUAUUGAUAGUGGAGAAAAAUAUGUUAUAAUUAGUAUUGGGAGUGGUGAAAAGAUGAAAAAGUAUUAUAAUUAGUAUUGGGAGUUGUGAAAAAGUGAAAAGUAAGAAUAAAUAAAGUAUUAUUAGUGGUGGGGUAGGUGUCCAAAAAUGGAAAGAAAGAAAGAGGAACUUAUUUAGGGGACGUCCCAAAAAGGAAAAAGAUGAACUUAUUUCAGGGACGGAGGGAGUAUAUCAAAAGGCUAUUUAACAUUCAAUGUAACAUUGAGGAAAUUAUCAACUUUAUUAUUUCAAGAAAUUGUAUGAAUAGAUUGUUUGAAACAUCAAAUUUUGUAAUGUUAUAUAUAUGCAGAGAAUCAGAGCCGGGGAGUCGGACGCGCGACCGCCUCGUUUUUACGCAGACGCGUCGACAUGAAACGCAACACGACGUCGUUGAGCAGAGCUUGAUGCUUGGUGAACUCAUGAUCAGCUCCUUCGACUAUACAUAGAUCGUGAUUUCGGAUGUUCUUGUCGAAUUCCGUUGCGUCGUCUACCGGAACCAUCUCGUCUAACGUGCCGUGAACCGUUAGUACGCUGUAAACAUAUUGCAAAUUCAGAUAAAUGUCGUGUUAUUCCCAGCAACGAUUAACCCUAAAAAAUAAGUAACAAGUCGAUGGCUUCCGAACCUGCAGUUCGGAGGGAUGGAUCGACACGCAGCACGAGGGUCCGUCUCCAGACGGUCCUUCAAGCUCGCCUCCGUCACCCGAUACUCAGUUUUCCCUGCAGCAUGCGUAUAAAUACACAAACUUAGCCCAACAUGCGAAACAACACACGACAGGAAACGAUUCAAACACACAUUACUACCUCUUCUAUUUCUCACGUCGAUGAAUCCGUAUUGCUUGAUCUUCUCUUGGAAGUCUUUCCCCAGGCGGCCUUCGAUCCUCGCCUCAGAUCAAAGCGGCCGGCUAUGUUGACGACUGUUUGACGUCGUUGUACUUUGAGGCGUACAAGAGAACGGCAUUCCCUCCUACAUCAUCAAAGGCAGUUUUAGCUUUGCUAGAAAACCUCGUUCAUCGAUAAAUUAAGACAAUCAAGAUUACAUUUCAUGGCAUCCUAGAGCUCGAUUAUAAGAAGCUACACCGUAAGAUCCAAGAUCGUACGAGCCACUGCAGCUACGGAGGCAACAACAUGCCACACAAUGCAAGAAAACCGUGUACCUUUACUAUGGCCAACAACGGCCACUAUGCAACGUUGGUUAGCCUUGAAGUGCUCGACUACAGCACGUACAUCUUCAGCCUCUCUACGGUAAUUGCCAUAUUGGAACGAACCUUCGCUUUCCCUAAAUGGCGCAUAAGAUAAAUGUGAACACGGCACGACAAGAAAAAGGUUAAGCCCUAUGCCAUAGUUUUCGAGCAUUUACUUACCCGUUGCCAGCAAAAUCAAAGCGGAAGGCGCUGAUUCCCUCCCUCUCGAAGGCGAGAGCAAGGUUCGCCAUGGGAAUGCGAUCCUGCAGUUGGUAGAGAGAAACAAAACCAAACUAGAAAUAAGGAAACUGGAAAAAAGUUUUACGUUCUAAUAUGAUCCGAGAAUCGGCUGCAAGAUCAUGCACCUUUGUGGACCGGAAUCCAUGGCAUAUAACUACGAGCUCACUCGACCCCGUUUCGUGCAGUAUCCCGACUAGCUUCUCGCCAUAGCUGUUCUCUAUAAACACUUUCUUGCUCUCCACUACUAGUAACAGAUGAUAUGAGAGAGAUAGAGAAGCCAUAAUAAUAAGUACUUGAAAUAACAAUACUCAAGCAUAACAACUAAUCAAAGAACUCUCAGCUGGAGAGAAAUCAAAUAACAAUACUCAAAAAUAAGAACUCUCUCUCUCUCUCUCUCUCUCUCACACACACACACACACACACACACACAGCAAUAACAAGUACUGGAAAUAACAACUAAUCAAAGAAUUUCCAGUGGUAGAGAAUCACACACACACACACACACACACACACACACAGCAAUAACAAGAAUUGGAAAUAACAAUACUCGAAAAUUAAUUAAACUAAUCAAAGAACACCAGUUCCCCCAAUUCCCAACUAAAAAUUUAAAGCUAAAACAUCAAUAACAGAUUUCAAAAACUAAAACAAAAACACACAGAAACCAGAUUAUCAAAACUGAUCAAUGAUCACCUCUUUCAAUAAGCAACUUAUGGAAUCAGGGAGUAAACAAUAAGACCGCAUAUAAAAUAAAAAUUCAAUCUUUGAGCCAGAAAUAGAAAACCCACAUCAAAUAAUUAAUGAAGGAGCUAAUUUGUUCAAUAGAGACACUAAAGGGCCUCCUUCUCCUGCUACUUUUGCUGUGACAUUCAAUUUUCUGAAAUGUUAUUGAACUAAUUAAAUUCCACAAUUUCAUAUACUUAUUAAGUAAAUUAAAACCCUUCUUGUGUUUUCUGCUGCAGAAAAUACUAACCUGGAGAUUUGGGGUGUUGAUUCUGUUGGCUUUCCGACAUCGGAGAUUCGGAAUCAGGAGAUAAAUUUCUGUUAUCGCGUUUUGCGCCACCACGCUUCUCGUCGCAAUUAAUUAUCGUCAUUUGUCAAGGGAAAUUAAUGAAUGAAGUAGGAAUUUUCUUCUUUUUAGACAGCAUUUAUUAUGAAAUUAACUCUUCAUGAAGGAGCUGAUAUGUUCAUGGAAAAACACUUCUGAUUAUAUUUUUGCUAAUAUGUUUUCCUUGCUCAUUUUAUUAAUAAAUGCAAAAAAAAAAAAAAAUUUUACAAUAAUUCUCACUUCAUCUCAUUUUAAUAGUCCACGUUGCUUUUUUUGCAUACGUAUUAAAAUAAUACAAUUAAUGUAAUUUGAAAAAUAUAAUUUAUACGUAAUUUUCUUAUUUUACCCUUGUUUAUUGUUCUAUAUAUUAUUUUCACACAUUAAAUAAGAUUAUUUCAGUAAAAAAAAUAUGAAUACAAUUUAAAUAUAAAAAGUAGAUUACAUCUUGACAUCCCAAAAAGGAAUAAGGAAUUAUGAAAUUGGAACAGAGAGAGUACUAAUCUUUAUAUGUAAUUAAAUUAUAAUUAUGAUAAUAAAUUAUAACUACAGAUAAAUAAAUUAUUAAUUAAAAAUUACUAGAGUCUAAUUAAUAAUUGCAAAAUUUUGUGGUGAUGCAAAAGAAAUUUCCAUACAUUCUGUAUUAGAAUUAGUAUUUCUCACUAAUACAUUAUUCUUCUUCGAGACAUGAUGUUAACUUCUCAACAACACAACGAAACAACAAUCUCUUCACUGAAAUUAUUUUUAUUCUCAAAAAGAAUAAAUUAUUUUCAUUCUCUUUCAAAGCUUUAUUUCAAAUGAGAUUUCUCAUCCAAGUAAGAAGUGAAUCUUUUUUUUAUCCAUAUAGAUUUGCCAGCAUUCAUAAUUCAAGAAAUGCAGCCCCCAACUCCAUCUAAUCGAGUUUAUGAUCCAAGUAUAAUACAUUCAAAUGAAAAAUUAUUUAAUUUGAGGCUACAACACUAAGUUCAUCAUCUCCUACAAACCUACCCCAUCAUUUCUUCAAUCAAUGGAGUCUCUUCCGCAGCAACUAAGCAACAAAAGUUUCAGCAUGUGUAAUUUUAACCAUAUGCACAAUCGAACGCUCAACAUCUCUUACCAACGUCUUCUAGGUCGAGCACGAGGCCCGGUUAAGACCCCACCGGGGCGGGGCCUUUUGUUUGGGCUGCGGCCGUUGCAGCCGAUGCGCGGCGUGCUGCUGCAGCGGCUGCGCGCAGCAGGAUUGGGUAGCGACGGGGGAGAGGGCUUUGAUGGGGGACUACUCUGCACGGCGAUGGCCUGCUGCUGCUGCUGCUGCUGCUGUAUCUUGAGAGUUCAUCUGCGCGAGUAGGUCCUUGAUUUGAGCCCCCGAGAGCGUCUCCUUUUCGAGCAAGGCGUUGGCGAGGGCGUGCAGCUCCUUCUCGUGCGUGGUGAGGAUGGUCUUGGCGUUGUCGUAAGCUGUUUCGAGGAGUUCCCUCACUUCCUUUUCGAUGAGGAGUCGGGUAUCGGUGCUCAUGCUCCUACCGUUGUCGUUGUAGUUGUGAGUGACGACGCCCACCUCUUUGCUCAUGCCGUAACUGGUCACCAUUGCUCUUGCAAGUUUGGUUGCUUGCAAGAGAUCGCUUGAUGCGCCCGAGGUCACCUCACUUUCCCCGAAGAUCAGCUCCUCCGCGACCCUACCGCCCAUGCAGACAUCAAGAUCGGCAAGCAUCUGCUUCCUCGAUACACUGGUCUCGUCUUUGUCGGGCAGCUGAGAGACCAUCCCAAGAGACAUCCCACGUGGAACGAUAGUCGCUUUGUGCACGGGUAAUGCUCCAUCUGUGUGUAUGGCUACGAGGGCGUGACCGCCCUCGUGGUACGCUGUCAGCUUGCGCGAUUCAUCAGAUAUAACUGCUGAUUUGCGCUCGCUUCCCAUCAAGAUUUUAUCCUUGGCAUGUUCAAGAUAAGCCAUAGUCACUGCUUUGGCACCAUCCAUCGCAGCCUUGACAGCAGCGACAUUCACCAAGUUCGCAAGCUCCGCACCAGAAAAACCCGGGGUUCCUCUUGCGACGAUACUUACAUCGACGUCGUCUCCCUUCAGAACCUGUGAGAUGACAUACAAAGUUAGAACUGUCUAUCAUGCAUAUAUAUUCCACAUUAAUUUUACAAGAGAAACAAGAUAUUUAGUAGAAUUCAUGACGAAUUAUCAUGAUAGAUAUGACCAUAUAUGAAGCUACUGCCAAUUUAAGACGUUGCGGAUCUCCACAAUAGAAGACAUAUUCACAAAUCAGCAAACAAGAGAUGUGAAGAACAUAUCAAAAGCCUAAACAGAAAAUUCCAGCCUGAACCUUGUUACCUUUGACAUGUAAAACUCCAAGAUCUGCCUCCGCCCUUCAACAUCAGGAUUUGGAACGACAAUAUGGCGAUCAAAUCUUCCGGGUCUCACCAGUGCUUUAUCCAAAGACUCUGGAAAAUUGGUAGCAGCUAUCACAAUAAUCCCUUCAUUCUGUUUAAAGCCGUCCAGCUCAACAAGCAACUGGUUUAAGGUCAUCCUCAGGUGCUGCUGAUCCUUCGGAUUACGGCUCCCUCCUAUGGCAUCAAGCUCAUCCAUGAAAAUUAUACACGGCGAACUCUUUUUUGCAGCAGCAAACAGAUCCCUCACUCUACGUGCUCCAACACCAACAAACAUUUCUUCAAAUUCACUGCCACUGCAACAAAGAAUGGAACACCAGCUUCUCCGGCUAUGGCUCUUGCCAACAUAGUUUUCCCCGUGCCGGGGGGGCCAUAUAACAGAACACCUUUGGGAAGCUUGCCGCCAAGUCGUGUGAAACGCUGUAGUGAACAAGAUAACCAUAUGAAAUCCACAAAUCUUUCAUAACCUAGCAAAAGCAUGUCCCUCAACAAACCCUUCUCCCAAUAAACGGUGGAAUACUAAUCAAAUCUUGAUGACAAGAGAGAAUAAGGCAAAUGCUGAAUAAUGUAAACAAAAUUAAAUUAACAAAUCAUCUCAACUAAGACAGUUCUACCAUACUUCAGGGUGGUUACCAGGCUAUUUAAAAAUAUAACAACUGAUAAAACACUCAUUUAGUAGUAGGGUUUACAUUUCCAGGUGUAUUCAAGCAGAUAUUAUCAUUUUUCAUUCUUUGCAUCUGAAAACGACAAAAAAGACCUGCACAUUGAUAAAGACUCAUGCGCAGUUACCUUAGGAUCACGAAGGUAAUGAACAAUUUCUUCCAACUCAGCUUUUGCCUCAUCAACUCCCUUCACAUCAUGAACUUAGUAUUAGAUUCCAUAAUGGGUCGCACCUCUUCAUGUAAACCAAGUCCUGCUAAGAGCAAACAAUUAUGAUAGCUAGGAGCCUAGGACACACAUAAAUCAGUCAGAAAAGCAACUGAACGAACAAGCAGUUCACAAAAGGAUAUAUCAGUACCUUUACCAAUUCCUCUAUCCUCAAUGAGUGCACCAAAACCUGACAUGAGGAGGAAACAACACCCAAAGACGGAUAGUACGCCAUAUCGCUCUUUGAAAUUCCUCCUUCAGCAGUCACCAUAUGUAUAGGAGCACUUGAGUACCAAGAAUCCCAUCUUUUGAAGAUUUCCCUACAUUUCUGAAAGCCGAAAGAGCUCCAACACUUUCUUCAUCCACCAAUGAGUUAGUAGCUCCUAGAUCAAAAAGGUUCUUUAAAACCAAAAUAUAUUUAUUUUAACUAGAAUUUGCAGCCAUAUGUGAAGGGAGCUCAAUUGGUGGGGCCAUUCAUAAAGGCCAGUCAUAAAGCUGAUUAGAAAGUUUUGGAGGAACAGUUCUUUUACUCACCUCUGCGCAACGCCCUAAACAGCUCGCUUUCAUCAAGUUAUCAAGCCUAACAAGCGCUUUGACAUAUUCAGCAAGAGCAGAUGGAUUAGCAUGUAGCGAUGGAUGGCUCUCAAACAGCCUUAUGACUUCCUCUGGAUCAUUUCGGCGAGAGAGCUCUUUAAGAUAUGCGCAUCGAUUGAUCUCUCUGAUUCACGCAAUCUACGAGCUAAACUACCAAAGUGAUUCGGCUUUCCUAAGGUACUUGUUCCCAAGGGACUCAAAAGCUUGUGCACUAGAUAAGAAAAUUAAAGAUUCAGAAACAUGCGGACGCAAUGGUAAAAUGAAGUUACUAUAUAUAAGUGACAAAAACCACAGCAUUAGAAGUUUUCACUUAAUAAACAAAUCUGGACAUUGCAAUCCCGACUCCCGAGUGAACUUUGAGGUGCCAUAUACUACAAAUGAAGCUGUAGAUGGAAGCAGGGAACAGAAAGGCUCACAAAAAGAAACUCCCAAUUGCAAACCGAAAGGUAGAUGAUUACCAUUGAAUCAUAUGUACCAAUAACCUAUUACACAGCGGUCCCCACCAAAUAUUAUCAUUUUGGAGCCAAAACAACUUAUGAAUAAUACAAGCUACUUAAGUGCCAAGAAAUUAUCAAAACUAUGCUAUAUGAAACCUAGCCACUGAAUCUGAACUAAUCCAAUCAUACAUGCUCAAAAUCCAUUCCAUCUGACCAUGUUAGCAAUAAAGAUCAGUUAGAUUGAGUAGGGUAGCAAGUUUGAGCCUAACAGAGACUGGUGCAUACCUCCUCCCCUAGUGUAAGGGGAAGCUCGAUACGGUCGAGCAGCCAAAUUGCUCAGCUGCCUCAACUGAGACUCCUGUCUUCUGACCUGAAGCCACAAAUGCAUUUUUCAUGUAAGACCAGAGAUUGUAGCAUACGGACUCUAUCUAAAACAAGAUGAAUUCAACUAAACGCGCAUUAAGACGAUAGCUUCUAGAGUAACAAAGCACCAAUAACAUUACAUCAAAACACAGCUUGGUGAGAACAAAUAAUCAAUAAAAAUCCUAAAGAGAGCUAAUCAGAGCUGUAAACUGGCUGAUAAAAUUUCAAUCUUUCUUCUGAAAGCUAAUUAAAGCAUGUUUUUUUAAAAGGGAUCAUACUGAUAAUGAUCGCAAUACAUGUGUAUUCAUUAAUUAAUCUAAACGCGCAAAAUCGAUCAAUAAUUCCUCCGAAAUACAUUAAACAAGAAAGCAAAUGUCUUCAAAUUUACACUCGCCGCAUCUCAAAACAACAGAGCUAAAACUCACUCAUAAAAUCCACAAUCCACUGAAACACAUACAAAAACAAAUAAAUCCAAUUAACCUGAUUGAUGAGGCGCCUCAGUGCCAUCUUUCUCCAACAGCGACAGCAAACGCGGAAAAAUGAAACGCAGAAAAAGCACACACUCUUCAACUCCUCUUUUCAGUUGUUAAUCUAGGCGCCAAUUGAAGAGCACACAUAAAUUGAUCCAAAAUGUGAAGAAGAGAGAGAGAGAG